GAUGAACGCUGGCGGCGUGCCUAAUACAUGCAAGUCGAGCGAACAGAUGAGGAGCUUGCUCCUCUGACGUUAGCGGCGGACGGGUGAGUAACACGUGGAUAACCUACCUAUAAGACUGGGAUAACUUCGGGAAACCGGGCUAAUACCGGAUAAUAUAUUGAACCGCAUGGUUCAAUAGUGAAAGACGGUUUUGCUGUCACUUAUAGAUGGAUCCGCGCCGCAUUAGCUAGUUGGUAAGGUAACGGCUUACCAAGGCAACGAUGCGUAGCCGACAUGAGAGGGUGAUCGGCCACACUGGAACUGAGACACGGUCCAGACUCCUACGGGAGGCAGCAGUAGGGAAUCUUCCGCAAUGGGCGAAAGCCUGACGGAGCAACGCCGCGUGAGUGAUGAAGGUCUUCGGAUCGUAAAACUCUGUUAUUAGGGAAGAACAAAUGUGUAAGUAACUAUGCACGUCUUGACGGUACCUAAUCAGAAAGCCACGGCUAACUACGUG
rnacentral:rRNA from 1 species